UACGUAGGGUGCAAGCGUUGUCCGGAAUUAUUGGGCGUAAAGAGCUCGUAGGCGGUCUGUCGCGUCGGAUGUGAAAACCCAGGGCUCAACCCUGGGCCUGCAUUCGAUACGGGCAGACUAGAGUUCGGUAGGGGAGACUGGAAUUCUUGGUGUAGCGGUGAAAUGCGUAGAUAUCAAGAGGAACACCUGCGGCGAAGGCGGGUUGCUGGGCCGACACUGACGCUGAGGCGCGAAAGCUAGGGGAGCGAACGGG
rnacentral:rRNA from 1 species